rnacentral:rRNA from 1 species
GUGGGGAAUAUUGGACAAUGGGCGAAAGCCUGAUCCAGCCAUGUCGCGUGUGUGAAGAAGGUCUUCGGAUUGUAAAGCACUUUAAGUUGGGAGGAAGGGCAGUAAGUUAAUACCUUGCUGUUUUGACGUUACCGACAGAAUAAGCACCGGCUAACUUCGUGCCAGCAGCCGCGGUACUACGAAGGGUGCAAGCGUUAAUCGGAAUUACUGGGCGUAAAGCGCGCGUAGGUGGUUUUGUAAGUUGGAGGUGAAAUCCCCGGGCUCAACCUGGGAACUGCCUCCAAAACUGCAUGACUAGAGUACGGUAGAGGGUAGUGGAAUGUCCUGUGUAGCGGUGAAAUGCGUAGGUAUAGGAAGGAACACCAGUGGCGAAGGCGACUACCUGGACUGAUACUGACACUGAGGUGCGAAAGCGUGGGGAGCAAAAAGGAUUAGAAGCCCCUGUAGUCC